UACGGAGGGGGCUAGCGUUGUUCGGAAUUACUGGGCGUAAAGCGCGCGUAGGCGGCUUGUUAAGUUAGGGGUGAAAGCCCGAAGCUCAACUUCGGAAUUGCCUCUAAAACUGACUUGCUUGAGGACGGAAGAGGAGGGUGGAAUUCCAAGUGGAGAGGUGAAAUUCGCAGAUAUUUGGAAGAACACCGGUGGCGAAGGCGGCCCUCUGGUCCGUUCCUGACGCUGAGGUGCGAAAGCGUGGGGAGCGAACGGG
rnacentral:rRNA from 1 species